rnacentral:rRNA from 1 species
GGGGCCUACGGGGCGCAGCAGUGAGGAAUAUUGGUCAAUGGGCGCGAGCCUGAUGCAGCAACGCCGCGUGAAGGAAGAAGGGUUUCGGCUCGUAAACUUCUAUCAACAGGGACGAAAGAAAUGACGGUACCUGAAUAAGAAGCCCCGGCUAACUACGUGCCAGCAGCCGCGGUAAUACGUAGGGGGCAAGCGUUAUCCGGAAUUACUGGGGGUAAAGGGUGAGUAGGCGGCAUGGGAAGCCAGAU